AUUGAACGCUGGCGGCAUGCUUUACACAUGCAAGUCGAACGGCAGCGCGGGCUUCGGCCUGGCGGCGAGUGGCGAACGGGUGAGUAAUGCAUCGGAACGUGCCCAGUAGUGGGGGAUAGCCCGGCGAAAGCCGGAUUAAUACCGCAUACGACCUGAGGGUGAAAGCGGGGGACCGAAAGGCCUCGCGCUAUUGGAGCGGCCGAUGUCGGAUUAGCUAGUUGGCGGGGUAAAGGCUUACCAAGGCGACGAUCCGUAGCUGGUCUGAGAGGACGACCAGCCACAGUGGAACUGAGAGAAGGUCGAGAGGCCGACGGGAGGCAGCAGGGGGGAAUAGGGGACAAUGGGCGCAAGCCUGAUACAGCCAUAGCGAGGGGGGGAAGAAGGCCUGCGGGGUGGAAAGCCCGGGGGUGGGGAAAGAAAAGCAGCAGGUGAAUACACAGAGGGGGGGAAGGUACCAAAAGAAGAAGCACAGGCUAACUGCGUG
rnacentral:rRNA from 1 species